UGGGGGAUAUUGCACAAUGGGGGGAACCCUGAUGCAGCGACGCCGCGUGAAGGAAGAAGUAUCUCGGUAUGUAAACUUCUAUCAGCAGGGAAGAAAAUGACGGUACCUGACUAAGAAGCCCCGGCUAACUACGUGCC
rnacentral:rRNA from 1 species